AUUGAACGCUGGCGGCAGGCCUUACACAUGCAAGUCGAACGGUAACAGGACUCCGCUUGCUGCCUUGUUGCCAAGUGGUGGGUGAUUGAUUAGUACCUGGCCAACUGCGGGAUGUAGCGCGGUGACUACUGUACUCAUACCCCAUUACAGCUUAGCGUCAAAGCAGCAGACAGAGGGACCUUAUUUCCCCUCGCCCCUUUGUAUCCCCCGAUGUCGGAUUAGCUAGUUGGUGGGGUCAAGGCCUACCAAGGCGACGAUCCGUAGCUGGUCUGAGAGGACGACCAGCCACACUGGGACUGAGACACGGCCCAGACUCCUACGGGAGGCAGCAGUGGGGAAUUUUGGACAAUGGGCGCAAGCCUGAUGCAGCAAUGCCGCGUGCAGGAAGAAGGCCUUCGGGUUGUAAACCGCUUUUGGCAGGAAGGAAACGGUGACAGCUAAUACCGGGCGCUAAUGACGGUACCUGCAGAAGAAGCACCGGCUAACUACGUG
rnacentral:rRNA from 1 species